rnacentral:lncRNA from 1 species
UAAGAAUCAUAUAAGUUAGGUGGAUUAUUUCUCCUAACUCUAUCUAAUGUACUAUUUUAAGCCUAGGGAGGGACACAUCAUAACCCUAGAAAGAGACAUUUUGAGUGGACCAUACCCAGCCCACCAUUAUAGACCGUGCCAAUCCACCAAUAACACUUACUCUUCUUUACACACUUUAUAAAUCUCCUUACUACCUAAUUUGUAUAAAUCUUUUCAUAAUAUAGUUUUCAUUGUUCAAAUUUUAUGUUCAUUUUUUUUUUAUUUCUGGUACUAGACACAACAUUAAAAUCCAAAAAGUGCUCUCACCAACAUUCCCAAAGAAAAAAGCUUCUAAAAUCUUAAAAACAUUAAAAACUAAUUUGGGAAUAUACCAUAACCAAAAUGUAUGAGAUAAAAACUGUCGUAGAAGGAGCAUCCAAUUAAUGCUAAUGCUUUUUAAUUUAAUGGCAAUUAUGUCGUCAUCUUUCAAUAUCCACUUAAGGUGGUGUCUGGAUUGAUAAAUCUGUAGAUCUAACGUAAUUCAAAUGUAAUGGUGUUUGAGUUUUUCUAAUGUAUAAUUCUUUUUUUAUUGUUUGUUUUGACAUAACUCGUACAGUUUGAAAGUUAAAUUCAAUUAUAUAUUCUGUUUGUUUUAAUAUAACUUGGUGCUGAUGAAAUUAGUUUUUUGAGUUCCAUUGUUUAUUUUGAUUUAAGUAAGUGGAUCUCGUUAUCUCCUAAAUAUAGUGGUAAACUUACUGUUAUCAAAUUUAACCUAUUAUAUAAUUAAAAUUUUUGUUAUUAUUUAAAGGUAGUCUUAAUUUAUUAUAAAUAAGGUAAUUCUAAUCCAUUAUAAAGAAAGUAGAGUUUAUAUUUUAUUAUUUAAUAAAUUUUUAGAGGAGGUUGAGUGUGAGACCCCAGAUAGUCCUAUAUAUGGGAUAUAAUAGGGCUAAACUCUUAACCCGGCUUAAGCAUUUUGGGUGGUGGCUAGACCCAAGAGGUUAAGAGAGUUAAGCAUGCUAGGACGGGAGUAGUCCUAGGAUGGGUGACCCCUGGGAAGUUGGGGCGUCACAGAUGGUAUCAGAGCCAAUUACCAGUCGGAAGUGUGAGAUGAGUCUCGGCUGAGCCAGGGUCUGGAUGACGGGCUAGCGAGAUGAGUCUCACAUCGCCUGAUAUUUGUGAGUCUAAGCCUGACGAGGACGUCAGGACUUAAAGGAGGGGAGAUUGUGAGACCCCAGAUAGUCCUAUAUAUGAGAUAUAAUAGGGCUAGGGAGUAGUCCUAGGAUGGGUGACCCCCUGGAAAGUUGGGGCGUCACAUUGAGUGUGGCGAAAGUCGAGUUCGGCACUUUAGAGAAGGAAGUCGAGAGUAGGUGAAAUGGAGGUUUAACGUAAAUUCAGUUACAUUAUAUUUUAAACUUAUACCAAAAUAAAUAACAAAAAUGAUAAAACUUGAGUUUCAUCUCUCCACUUACAAACAGAUAGAUCCUUAGCUUAU